GUUUUCGUGGUGCAGUGGUCAGCACACUCGGAUCGUAUUCGAGAAAUCCAUGGUUCGAAUCUCGGCGAGUGCA
rnacentral:tRNA from 1 species